GAUGAAGAACGUAGCGAAAUGCGAUAAGUAAUGUGAAUUGCAGAAUUCAGUGAAUCAUCGAAUCUUUGAACGCACAUUGCGCCCCCCAGUAUUCUGGCGGGCAUGCCUGUUCGAGCGUCAUUUCAACCAUCAAGCCCUGCUUGUGUUGGGGUCCUGCGGCUGCCCGCAGGCCCUGAAAACCAGUGGCGGGCUCGCUAGUCACACCGAGCGCAGUAGCACAUCUCGCUCUGGGCGUGCUGCGGGUUCCGGCCGUUAAACCACCUUCAUAACCCAAGGUUGACCUCGGAUCAGGUAGGAAGACCCGCUGAACUUAAGCAUAUCAAUAAGCGGAGGA
rnacentral:misc_RNA from 1 species